rnacentral:lncRNA from 1 species
UUGCACGAAGCUUCAAGGGAAGGAAUACGGGUUUAUCAGAAAAAAAUUUUGCAGUUGACGAAAGAUUCGUCCGGGUCCUGAAUACGAACCCGUGAACAAACUGUUUACACGGUGAUGACUCUGCCAUCCGAGCUAACAAUGGGGCAAGUAGAGUGACAACUCAAAAUACAGGGAUACUGAAGCAGCUUCAUUUGUAGCCUGCAUUCGGCUGGAUGACGUUUUCCAUUUCAUGACAUUUCCUUCGCCUCGCGGGAUCCCGUAUAAGUAAUUUGUAGUAGGUCGGUAUUGUGUUAAGGUCGCUAGAGCGAUGAAAGACCACAGCGUGCCUCAAUUUCGCGAAAACAGAAAGCCACCCAACAAAAUAGCGUUUUAUUCAGACUAAAAACGUGAGCUACGCUGACUGAUAGCAUUACCUCAACGUCGCAAAGCCGAUACUUUUACUUUUUACUUUCUCACUUUUUACUAUCUUCAUUUUUAGCGUGCCCAUCGUAUUUAAAAACACGGCAAAUGUCUCAGCGCACAUUUGCUCUCUAGUUGAGCUGACCGCCAAUAUGCACAACUGCAUUCUCUUCGGACUCUUUGCUGUGAUGCUCAGUAUACCGCAAGUCUCAGGAUUCAGGAACGACUCACAGGAAAUCGAGAUUCCUAUUACCUGUUUUAGGAACGAAACUUGCAGAUACCCUGAAGUGUGCGAACUUUGCCCAAAGCCUGAACCGAGCGGAUACUUGAGAUAUACAGUUUUUUACUUCGAUAACAGUACUAGAGACUGCGAAGAAACCAUUGCAAACACGGAGACAAGUUGCAACAGCUUUGAAUCCUGGGAGGAUUGUGCGCACUCUUGUGGGGUGGAAGAUGACUAUUACUACGCUGAGUGAUCCCACAAAAAGCAUUCGUAAGUGAAUGGUUCUCUUUUGCAGAUGUAACGGUUCU